UACGUAGGUGGCAAGCAUUGUCCGGAUUUACUGGGCGUAAAGAGCGCGCAGGCGGUCGUUCAAGUCGCGUGUGAAAGCCCCCGGCUCAACUGGGGAGGGUCACGCGAUACUGAUCGACUCGAAGGCAGGAGAGGGUAGUGGAAUUCCCUGUGUAGUGGUGAAAUGCGUAGAUAUCGGGAGGAACACCAGUGGCGAAGGCGACUACCUGGCCUGUUUCUUGACGCUGAGGCGCGAAAGCUAGGGGAGCAAACGGG
rnacentral:rRNA from 1 species